AUUGUACGCUGGCGGCAUGCUUUACACAUGCAAGUCGGACGGCAGCACAGAGAAGCUUGCUUCUUGGGUGGCGAGUGGCGAACGGGUGAGUAACAUAUCGGAACGUACCGAGCAGUGGGGGAUAACUAAUCGAAAGAUUAGCUAAUACCGCAUAUUUUCUGAGGAAGAAAGCAGGGGACCAUUUGGCCUUGCGCUGUUUGAGCGGCCGAUAUCUGAUUAACUAGUUGGUGGGGUAAAGGCCUACCAAGGCGACGAUCAGUAGCGGGUCUGAGAGGAUGAUCCGCCACACUGGGACUGAGACACGGCCCAGACUCCUACGGGAGGCAGCAGUGGGGAAUUUUGGACAAUGGGCGCAAGCCUGAUCCAGCCAUGCCGCGUGUCCUGAAGAAGGCCUUCGGGUUGUAAAGGUACUUUUGUUCAGGGAAGAAAGAGGCGGGGUUAAUACCCCGUGUCUGAAUAACGGUACCCUGAAGAAUAAGCAC
rnacentral:rRNA from 1 species